UCAAAACGUUGAAUUGUGUAAACCUUCAAAAUUUACAAAAUGUUCAAGCAACAAAUAUUUUUUUCUUCUAUAGCUUUCAAUAACAAUUUGAAAUUGUAUUAGUGUUACAAACUAACGGUUUAAAACUCUGUUCACAUUUGGCAGAGUCGUGGGAGCGGAGGCUAACAAGAUUCGCACAUUUUCUCAGUCAAAUGAGACAACAUUACUCCGCGAUAUUUUGGAACAAAAGAAAUUGAAAAAAAAGUUUUUUGCAUCUUUAAUGUCUUCGAACGACAAUGCAAAAUAUUUCUCAAAACACAUGCGAAGCAGUCAUUGCACACUGAACUGCUACGCAAGUACAACACGUAUCAGCCCUUCUUUAUCAACAAAACUUUCGAUGUUUGCGAGUUUUUGAAAACACGGAAAAAUGCUGUAUAUUUCGACAUAUUAUUUAAACUGAUAGAGAAAUACACUAAUGCCAACCACACGUGUCCUUAUGAGGGGGAGUUCAUAGUCGAGCGCUUCAGUCCGUUUCAUAACAAUUUCAUUCUGCCGCUUCCCACCGGUGACUACCUCAUUAAAUUUGGCUUUUAUAACUCAAACGCGCUGAUUUUCCAGUUGUUUGUGUGGUUUGGCUUUAAAGAACUGGAAAACUGGGAAAAUCGCCACAAAUUCUAAUGGUUUCCAAAAACCCUGCAUGCACCAUAAGAGUUUUGUUUGGCUACCUUUGCCGGAAAUGUAUUAAAAAA